AGAGUUUGAUCAUGGCUCAGGAUGAACGCUGGCGGCGUGCUAAUACAUGCAAGUCGAGCGAACCACUUCGGUGGUGAGCGGCGAACGGGUGAGUAACACGUAGGUGAUCUGCCCAUCAGACGGGGACAACGAUUGGAAACGAUCGCUAAUACCGGAUAGGACGAAAGUUUAAAGGUGCUUCUGGCACCGCUGAUGGAUGAGCCUGCGGCGCAUUAGCUAGUUGGUAGGGUAAAGGCCUACCAAGGCGACGAUGCGUAGCCGACCUGAGAGGGUGAACGGCCACACUGGGACUGAGACACGGCCCAGACUCCUACGGGAGGCAGCAGUAGGGAAUCUUCGGCAAUGGGCGAAAGCCUGACCGAGCAACGCCGCGUGAAUGAUGAAGGCCUUCGGGUUGUAAAAUUCUGUUAUAAGGGAAGAACGACUUUAGCAGGAAAUGGCUAGAGUGUGACGGUACCUUAUGAGAAAGCCACGGCUAACUACGUGCCAGCAGCCGCGGUAAUACGUAGGUGGCGAGCGUUAUCCGGAAUUAUUGGGCGUAAAGAGCGCGCAGGUGGUUGAUUAAGUCUGAUGUGAAAGCCCACGGCUUAACCGUGGAGGGUCAUUGGAAACUGGUCGACUUGAGUGCAGAAGAGGGAAGUGGAAUUCCAUGUGUAGCGGUGAAAUGCGUAGAGAUAUGGAGGAACACCAGUGGCGAAGGCGGCUUCCUGGUCUGUAACUGACACUGAGGCGCGAAAGCGUGGGGAGCAAACAGGAUUAGAUACCCUGGUAGUCCACGCCGUAAACGAUGAGUGCUAAGUGUUGGGGGUCGAACCUCAGUGCUGAAGUUAACGCAUUAAGCACUCCGCCUGGGGAGUACGGUCGCAAGACUGAAACUCAAAGGAAUUGACGG
rnacentral:rRNA from 1 species